AUAUAUACCAAAUCUACCAAAACUUUGUUUUCUGCUCCUUCGUUUCUGCGAGUUGGGUUUAGAGGUGAAAACUUAUCGCUGCUACAGAUGAAGAUGAAGAUGAAGAUCAUAUCUUCUGAGAUUAAGUCCCAAUUUUCUGUAGAAAUUUUCUUCUCCAUUGAACCGCUAAAAUGAACUGCUUCAACUAGCAAGGACAACUACAAGAGGGAUUUUAUGGUCGGAUUGAUCUUGAAUUAACAAAUUGGGGUUUUAAUUUUCUUCUUCAGUUCCACCAUGUUUGUGGUGCUUGGGAAGCUGAUGAUAUUUUGAAGUAGCAGCAAGAAGAAGAAGAAGAAGAAGCUCUCCUUCCUGUUUAGUAGUGAGAACUAAUAAUCAAAUGUCAAAGGUUUUGAGCGAAUUUGGAGCCGGGUAAUCAGAUGAGAAGUUCACUAGCUAUAUCAUGCUUUGCUUACCGAAAAAACACCAUUUUUCGACGAGAUGGCAAGCAGUAGUUGGAGACAAAACAUGAAUGCGGAACAGCUAGCCAAUCAUCGAAAAAUGAACCGUGAUCGACAAAGAAUACGUAGGCUAAAUAUGACGGAGGAGCAGAGAUCUAUUGUACACGACUCCAGCGUGAUCGUAUUCGGUAUAGAGACGCCAGGGAAGAGCUGAAGUUUCCUUCAAUAUCUACUGGCAACAAUGCUACACACCUGUUUGAGCAUGUUAUGAAACAACAUGUGCAGUAAGAAGAGGAGAGGAUAAUUGGUGUAUGUAAGAGCAUAUUGUUUGCUGACGUGCAACGCACGUGCACUCUACUUGUCUAUAUAAGGAGGCAAAAAAUAAAAGCAUCAAAUUUAUUGGAAAAAGGUGUUGCAUCAAGAUUUUUGGAAGAAUCAUAUUAUUGGGGAUUUAAAUCCUUUUGGA